rnacentral:lncRNA from 1 species
AUGGUUCUUCCUUGUGUUCCAGCUUUGUUGUCUCAUGUUGUUUUCCACUGUUACAGGCCAAAACUGACUUCGAAUGCAGAGUCCCACAAUCAUUGUGUUCUCUCUCCCUCAAAUGCACAUUCUCUCUCUAUCCCCUGCGGCUGCUGCCAGGAUAUGAAGGAGCAGUGGUGUUGUCAAUUCAGAACUGUAUUUUCUACCCUCUUCAGUGCCUUUUUAAGGAAUAUGAAGCUAAAAACAGUUCUGCAGGCUGUACAAGAAGCAUGGUACCAGCAUCCACAUUUGGUUAUGCCUUCAGGCUGUUUCUCAUGGUGGAAGGGAAAGGGGAGUUGCCAUGUGCAGAAGUCAUAUGGUGAGAGCAGAAUCCAGGGAGAGAGAAUGAGCUGCCAGGCUCUAUCAACAACCAAUUCUCAUUGAAACUAAGAGUGAGAGUUCACUACAGCAAGAAUAGCACCAAACCAUUCAGGUGGGAUCCUCCCACAUCAUCAAAACACCUUCCACUAAGUCCCACCUCCAACAUUGGGGAUCACAUUUCACUACCUUGACAAGUAUCAAUCCAAAUACAGUAAUUUUAUAGUAGAAUUUUACAACAGAAUUUAAAACUGCCACCAGUACUAGUGUUUCCUCUGCUUCUAUUCAUUGUAUCUAACUAUUGAAAAAUGUUACAUUUCAUGAAGGUUUGGGGUUUACAUUUUUUUGAAACUUUGGAUCUAUUCUUCAUGUAAUUAGGUUGUAUUUAGUUUACUGUAAUAAUGAUAAUAGGCUAUAUAUAAUAUAUAUAAAUUUAUAUAUAUUAUAUAUAGCCUAUUAUCAUUAUUUAUAAUAUUAUAUAAUGUAUAUUAUAUAUAAUGGACCAGGCACUAUUCUAAGCAUUUUAUCAGUAUUAAUUUGCUAUGGGCCAGGCACUAUUCUAAGCAUUUUAUCGGUAUUAAAAAAUUAAUACACACAAAAUCCCUAUGAUGUAAAUACUAUUAUUACCCCCUUUUUACAGAUUGGGAAACAAAAGCACAGAAAACUUAAGGGAAUUUCCAAAGGUCAAACAUCAAGCAAGUGGUAGGGCUGCAUAGUGAACUCAGCCUGUUUCUGGAGUUUGCCCUUGUCUCUAUUAUAGCCUUUCACCUCUCCAUUUAGUCUCUCAAUAUAAUACCAGUCAAUUUUUAAGUUGGCCAUUUACAUUGAACUAAUACAGAUCUCUUUGGUGGCUUUUUUCUCAUGAUUACAUUUUGUCAGUGAUUAAAAGUACCCUGUGGCAUUAUGUGUAUGUGUUUUAGGAGAAAGUUCAGAAAAGUACUGUGAGUAUAUAUGAUCAGUUACAUAAAUUCCCAUGGUAAAUUUCCUCAAGAAUAAAUAAAAUUAUAUUGUAGUUAACAUUAUUCUCCCCUUAGACCUUAUUUGCUUUGCCUUUAAAUUCUAUGUUUUUGGGAUUAUGUUAGAAGUUAGGUGAACAUGUAGAGCAGCAGUAAAUUAGUAAAUUGAUUAAGAAAUUUUAGUUUUUGAAGCAAGAAACUAAUGAAGUAUUUAUUAUAGCUAAUUUAUCCCCUCACAUAAAAGUAAAAUUCAUUCUUGAGGGAAGUAGUCUGACUAAAUGCAGCCAGGAGGAACAUCUGCCACCGAGGGACCAGGACAUUGGGAAGGCUGGUUAACUCAAACCAGAUCUUCAGAGAGGAGUCAUUAAGAAUGGAGAGAGGGAGAACACAGAUGCUGGGCUGAAGGAGAAGGAAGCAGGGAACCCUGCAUAGGGCUCUUGUGCACCAGGAUUCAUUCCUGGUCUCCAAAAACUCCUGGGGACAGAGUAAGUUGAGCAGAGGGGGAGCAACCUUCUCUCACCAUGAACCUCUAGAAUACUGGCAGCAGGAGAACCCACAACCCCCACAGACACUUAAGUGGCAAGGAAAGCUGCUUAGAGAGUUGAUGGGGCAGAACACCAGCUGGCGCGGAGCCCAGAGGGCUUGGUGCAGGAACAUCCAUGGUGAAGCACAACCAGGGGCUCCCAUACCCCCAAAGUUUUCCAUGCUCCCCUAGGACACUUUAGCAUUAGGGGAACUGUCUGACCUGAACAGAACAAGGGAAUCUUCCCCAUGAGAUGUGACUGCUUCUACCCAACAGCCCCCCUGUCUGCUGGCCUCUUAUGGGGCCCCAGCUUGGCCAUGCCUGCUUGCAGUACAGUCUUUGAUGCCCAAAUGGGGUGCCUGCCAAGGGCCCGCAUCAUACCUUCUGUG